rnacentral:lncRNA from 1 species
CUGCUCUGCUAGCAAUCAGCAAGACUCUGUGGGCGUAGUACCCUCCGAGCCAGGUGCGGGAUAUUAUCUCGUGGUGCACCGUUUUUUAAGCCCGUCGGAAAAGUGCGGUAUUCCGGGUGGGAGUGACCCGAUUUUCCAGGUGCCAUCCGUCACGCCUUUCUUUGACUCAGAAAGGGAACUCCCUGACCCCUUGCGCUUCCCAAGUGAGGCAAUGCCUCCCCUGCUUCGGCUCGUGCAUGGUGCGCGCACCCACUGACCUGCGCCCAUUGUCUGGCCCUCCCUAGUGAGAUGAACCCGGUACCUCAGAUGGAAAUGCUGAAAUCACCUGUCUUCUGUGUCGCUCACGCUGGGAGCUGUAGACCGGAGCUGUUCCUAUUCGGCCAUCUUGGCUCCUCCCGGGUCCUAUUUCUUAAUAGAAGCAGAUACAGGAAUACAUAUGCAGAUUUGUUACAUGGGAAUACUGCAUGAUGCUGAGGUUUGGAGUACAGAUCCUGUCAACCUGGUAUUGAGCAAACUCGUCGUAUAAAUUCAAUCAAUGACCUGGAUUGAAAACAGCUGUUCUGGGAUAUACUGAAAUUGCCGCAGCCACCCCAGCAUUCAGCAUGACUACAGUGAUAAGUCAGCAUCCAUCAACACUGAGACAAGACCCUUCACCAGCAAAAGGAUGAAGACCUGCUAGAGGAUCAGAUAAUAGCAUUUUCAUCAAUAAACUAUUUUUAAAUUUAAGUAUGUACAUGUUUUAGACAUAAUGCAAUUGUACACAAUAUGCUAUGGUAUAGUAUAAACAUAACUUUUAUACGUACUGGGUAACAAAAUUGUGUGACUCACUUUAUAUUAUAUUCACUUUAUUGCAGUCUGGAAGCAAACUUGAAAUAUCUCUGAGGAUACUCAUGUGCAUUCUCACGUGGCUGUCUCCAG